rnacentral:rRNA from 1 species
UACGUAGGGUGCGAGCGUUAAUCGGAAUUACUGGGCGUAAAGCGUGCGCAGGCGGUUCGCUGUGUCCUGUGUGAAAGCCCCGGGCUUAACCUGGGAAUGGCAUGGGAAACUGGCGGGCUGGAGUGUGGCAGAGGGGGGUGGAAUUCCGCGUGUAGCAGUGAAAUGCGUAGAGGUGCGGAGGAACACCGAUGGCGAAGGCAGCCCCCUGGGCUAACACUGACGCUCAGGCACGAAAGCGUGGGGAGCAAACAGG